UAUAGUUGAUUUAUACAUAAAAGUUAUAACAUAUAGAAUCGUAGUAAAUAGAAUAGUUAAAAAGUUCUACCCACAUAAUAGGAUAACAAGAUUUUCAUUAAAAUGGCUCACGUUAUGGUUUUGGAUUCUGUGGACGAAGAUAUUUUUGUAUGUGGAACAUGUAAAGCCGUGUUUAACUCUUUGCAAGUGUUCCUGGAUCAUAAGAGACUAAAAUGUAACAGUGUCGAUUUAGCUGGACGGUUUAAUAGUGCUAAUUUGGUGCAGACAACAGUAGUUGGUGAUGCCUUUUCUGGGAGCACAGCACAAGGUAGUGUACAAUCAGAGCCUGUUACUGAACAGGUUUGGCCCAAAGAUUUAACCUGCUCCACAUGCAAGAAAAGAUUUAAGAAGAUGAAAACCUUGCUAGCACAUUUGAAAACUCAUAGUGACAAACCCUACCAAUGCCCUGUAUGUGGUCGCUGUUUUAUGCAAAAUUCUCACUUACAGAGGCAUAUCAUGUCACACAGGAUGUGGCCCGAUGGUCUUAAGGAAACAACUGCAAAGACUCAGGAAGAAGAACUUUUGAGCUACACAUGUCCUUACUGUAAUGUGAUAUUGCUAAAUUAUAGUCAAUACAGAGUCCAUCUAAAGAAUCAUUCCUCUUUAAAAAAGUUUAAAUGUAUCCAAGGAGAUUGUAUGGACUAUUUUGAAACAGUUGAUCAGUUGCUUCAUCAUGUGUCUGUUGUCCAUGAGUAUCCACUUUAUACUUGUCACCUUUGCAGUUUACCUUUCAACUCGUUAGAAGACAUUGCCACACACCUGCAGAGUCAUAACGAUGUGGAUAAAAACAAACAGACUUCUAAUAAACUAUAUAAAUGUUCACAAUGUGAUGCCAGAUUCCGUAAACCUGAAAAAUUGACUCUCCACAUGAUGACGGAGAAUCAUAACAAGACGUGUAUCCAUUGUAAUAAGACAUUUGCUAGUGAUAAGAGAUUGCGCCUGCAUUUACAAAUACACAGGAAAUUGAAACCAUUUCAAUGCAAUAUUUGUAACAGCAGCUUUCACAUGAAGAAAUAUUUGUCUACUCAUAUGCUAAAACAUGGCAACAGACAGUUCAAAUGUACUGUUUGUAAAUACACCUUCAAAAGGCAAGAUUUGCUUCAGAGGCAUAUGAAGUUACACCAGGCUAAGAAAAUGUUAAAGUGCCCAUUCAAAGAAGCUUUGGAUUGCCAGAAGGAGUUUAAUCGGAGUGACAAACUGAAAUCUCAUUUAAAGUCUCAUACCAAACAUAUGGCUCUACAAAUGAGUAAAAAGAGCAAACUCUCACAGCCAAGGAAUACCUCAGAGAUUAGUAGAGAUUCACUUAAAAGUUGAUUACUCAAAGAAUGGCACAGGUUUUGGAUUGUCCAGAAACUGAUUAUGAUUAAGUUUAGACUAGAAGUCAUGUUCUAAAAACUAUAAUUUAUAUUACCUACUCACUAUGUUUAUUACUUUCCACUUGAAACACCAAUCCCAAAAGUGAUGUAAUAAAAAAAAAGAAUGGUAGCCACACUUAAAGGGCUUCUUUCAUAGAUAGUUGGCUAUAUCUAAUUAAGCAGUAAGUCAGUAGUGCAGGCAGGCUGCUACAUAAUAGACAUAUAAGUGGGUGGGAGGAGAAAAAUAUUGUGAAAUGGAAUUCUACAAAUCAAUGCUGUUCCUAGUUAUGGUAUCAACUCAUCUCAUUUUAUCCAAUGCUAGACAGUUCCGUGUGACUGAUCAGGUGUAUUUUGAUAUUAAAAGUGAAGACAAACUUCUUGGGCGAGUGGUGAUAGGUUUGUUUGGGGAUCUGGCUCCAAAUGCAGUAAAAAAUUUCAAAGUUUUGGCAACUAAAGGUAUAAAGGGGAAGUCUUAUAAAGGUACUUCCUUUAAUAGGAUAAUCAAGAGAUUUAUGGUCCAAGGUGGUGAUGUGGUUGCUGAUGACGGUACAGGCUCCACAAGCAUUUAUGGCGAUACUUUCAGUGAUGAGAACUUGGAGACACAGCACAGUGGUGCUGGGUUUGUUUCCAUGGCUAACAAAGGGCCCAAUACAAAUGGCUGUCAGUUUAUUAUAACAACAACUGGGACACCAUGGUUGGAUAAUUUGCACACUGUAGUUGGGAAGGUGGUGGAAGGCCAGAACAUAGUGCAUAUGUUGGAGCAUACGCCGACUGACGUGGACGACCGGCCGACGUUGCAUGUGUACAUCGCUGACUGUGGACUGAUACCUACGCCGCAACCUUACUACAUUUCUGAUGAUCCUUAUGAUCUGUGGGCGUGGAUAAAGGCUUCGGCAGUUCCACUGACCAUGUCGUUCUCAAUCCUCGGCUUCUUUCAAUGGAUGAUGAUGAAAAUGGAAAUAUAGGUAACUUCGACCAAUCUUUUAUUUUGUUACAAUCUCGUAUUUGACCCGAACUUGUAAACCAAGAUAUUUUUAACAUACUGAUUUUAAGCUCAUCUGACCAAAAUGUAACUGGUGGAUUUGAAAUUUCGUUUGGAAUAAAAUGAUUUUAUAUCUUA